rnacentral:tRNA from 1 species
GCGUAGCGCAGUCUGGUAGCGCUCUUGAUUUGGGAUCAAGAGGUCGCAGGUUCAAAUCCUGUCGC